rnacentral:tRNA from 1 species
GCCGGGGUAUCCUAGCCUGGUAGGGAGCAGGCCUGCUAAGUCUGUGUCCAUUGGACUCACGAGUUCAAAUCUCGUCCCCGGCGCCA